GUACUGAUGAAGAGUCCCAAACUAGGACGAAACAGUUGUUCAGUAC
rfam:Trichobilharzia regenti genome assembly, scaffold: TRE_scaffold0012133